ACAUCGAUUACAUUCUUCUCUGAAACUAACUAAGAGAUAUUACCCACAUGUGCGUAACAUACUUUAAUAAAUAGAGAUGUCGUCGUAACGUUAAGUUAUUGCCCACUGGCCUACAAUUUGGAACUGCUGCUGGUGUCACGAGCUGGUCCCAGACAACAUCAAUUACAUCCUUCUCUGAAACUAACUAAGAGAUAUUACCCACAUGUGCGUAACAGACUUUAAUAAAUAGAGAUGUCGUCGUAACGUUAAGUUAUUGCCCACUGGCCUACAAUUUGGAACUGCUGCUGGUGUCACGAGCUGGUCCCAGACAACAUCAAUUACAUCCUUCUCUGAAACUAACUAAGAGAUAUUACCCACAUGUGCGUAACAGACUUUAAUAAAUAGAGAUGUCGUCGUAACGUUAAGUUAUUGCCCACUGGCCUACAAUUUGGAACUGCUGCUGGUGUCACGAGCUGGUCCCAGACAACAUCAAUUACAUCCUUCUCUGAAACUAACUAAGAGAUAUUACCCACAUGUGCGUAACAGACUUUAAUAAAUAGAGAUGUCGUCGUAACGUUAAGUUAUUGCCCACUGGCCUACAAUUUGGAACUGCUGCUGGUGUCACGAGCUGGUCCCAGACAACAUCAAUUACAUCCUUCUCUGAAACUAACUAAGAGAUAUUACCCACAUGUG